GGAUCAGUACGCUGGUCGUGCCUUCGGUAUGCACUGGUUUCACUGAUUCCUCCCUUCUGAAGAACCGUAAUGCCAUUCAGUUGGUGUGGCGGGGAAUCAGGAUUGUUACUUUGAAAAAAUUAGAGUGUUUAAAGCAGGCUCGCGCUUGAAUACAUUAGCAUGGAAUAAUGAAAUAGGACGUUUGAUCCUAUUUUGUUGGUUUCUAGGAUUGACGUA
rnacentral:rRNA from 1 species